GACGAACGCUGGCGGCGUGCUUAACACAUGCAAGUCGAACGGUAAGGCCCUUCGGGGUACACGAGUGGCGAACGGGUGAGUAACACGUUGGUGACCUGCCCUGCACUUCGGGAUAAGCCUGGGAAACUGGGUCUAAUACCGGAUAGGACCACUGCCUGCAUGGGUGGUGGGGGAAAGCUUUUGCGGUGUGGGAUGGGCCCGCGGCCUAUCAGCUUGUUGGUGGGGUGAUGGCCUACCAAGGCGACGACGGGUAGCCGGCCUGAGAGGGUGGCCGGCCACACUGGGACUGAGAUACGGCCCAGACUCCUACGGGAGGCAGCAGUGGGGAAUAUUGCACAAUGGGCGCAAGCCUGACGCAGCGACGCCGCGUGAGGGAUGACGGCCUUCGGGUUGUAAACCUCUUUCAGCACCGACGAAGCGCAAGUGACGGUAGGUGCAGAAGAAGGACCGGCCAACUACGUGCCAGCCGCCGCAGUAA
rnacentral:rRNA from 1 species